AGAGCCCUGAGAGCCUGGAGAGGAGGGAUGGAGAAGGGGAAGCCUGGACAGUGGGGACCCUUGGGAUCCCCAGGACAACAAAGUGGAGAACCUGGAGAGGGGGAGUGUCUGGGAACGCAGCACCCUGAAGGAUUUGUCCUUCCCAAAGCUUGGGUGGAUGGAGGAG